CUAUGACUGGCCUCUAUAUCUGCUUUUGCAUGAAAGGCUCUGUACAAAACCCAAAUAUUGGGUGAUGGGAGUGGAGAAAGAAGAGUACCCUUCUGGAUGUCUUUGCUUUUGUGACAUUCAGCUUCUGUUUUAUUUCCUGAGGUCACAGACUGCACAGACUGAAGCACAGCCAAAAGGGUGAAAUGCAGAGGAUGAAGCUGACACAGAGGUAUUCUGCAACAAGAAGUCAAGUGGACAUAGAGUGACGGCCAUGUGGUGCUUUGGUGCCACGCUGGGCCUGGAGGGGAGAGGUCACACAACCUGGACUGGUCAAUCACGGGCUGUGGAAAACAGGAAAUCAACUGAGGAUUAUCCCUAUGAGAGCCACGUGCAGUUGGUUCACAGCUCUUUCACUGCAGAAGAGGCAAGAAGUGUGCCUUGGAGGUGAUGUCCAGAGUUACAGAUUAAUUAACCUUGGAUGGCAGCACUUACAGCAGCACUUAUGGCAGUCUCCAAGUACCUCAGGUCAUCGUUUGCUGUGUUGGUACUCCUGGACAAGAGAAAACUGCCUCCAAAUUCCUCAGAAUAUCUAGACCACCUCAGAAAACUGCUUGAGUUUAACACACAUUCUUAUUUUAUAAUGAGAGUAAAUAAAUAUUUUCCUUCUGAGCAAGGAGUAGAAAUUAUCAAAUGUCUGUUUUCUAGAUGAAAUUAAAUGCAUAGUAGUACCUGUUUAGAUGCAUAGGCCCCUCAGCUGUUAAAUAUGAAAACCCUUGUUUGGAUGAGUGGGUUUCCCCUUUCUGCUACUGAAGACCUUGCCCCAAACUCUUUACUCCCAGGAAAGUGUGUGUCCCUGACAUCUUUUUUUCCUCUCGUGCCUCUUUUUUUUCAGGAGGCAGAGCCAUUGUUAAUUCCUAUGUGAGAAUUUAUUACACUUCCAGAACAGUUUUUGAGAUUUUAGCCCAUUUAUGCUCCCCAACAGCUCUGUUUGGCAGUCUGUGGGUUUCACAAUGCUGAAGAGAAGGUUGACCCUUGUGACAUAAUAUUUUGUCCAAUACAUAAUAAUGUUUUGGGAGGUAUUUUGUUCCAAAUUCAUAAUUUUACAAACAUUAAAAUAAUUUUCAAAUGUAUCCUGAAUUUAGCAAACACUUUAAGCUGAAAUCAUAGAUGAAAACUGCUUGAGC
rnacentral:lncRNA from 1 species